UUUGCGGUUUAUGAGCUUGAGACAGGGAAUUCAUUUCCUUGGUAUAAUAUGACCCUCUGGAGAAAGUCUUGUCCAGAUAUAUUUUGCUCCCAAACGCCGCCCUAGAAGAAGGACUACACUGAAAUGAAACGGAGAUGAUUAAAGUCUGAUUUAUAGGCUGUACAAGCCCUGAAAGCAAGAACGGGGUUCACGGCAUCUUGAUACCCCCAUGUGGGGACGUUUUGGCGAUUUUAUUUACAAGAAAGGGAUUUUACACCGGAGAGGCUUUUAAAUAUGCUAACAGACUGGACCAGCUUUCUCAUCCCCACUGGCUGAUUAAUGAUUCCUCCAUGCCAACCCGGUUCUCAGAGACACCAAGGCCAGGGUCUCAUUCUGUCACCUAGGCUGGUAUGCAGUGG
rnacentral:lncRNA from 1 species